ACUCGAGGGAUACGUCCUUUACGAAAGAAAGAUUAAUACCUGAUAGUAUGGUGAGAUUGCAUGAUAGCACCAUUAAAGAUUUAUUGGUAAACGAUGGGGAUGCGUUCCAUUAGGUAGUAGGGCGGGGUAACGGCCCACCUAGCCGACGAUGGAUAGGGGUUCUGAGAGGAAGGUCCCCCACAUUGGAACUGAGACACGGUCCAAACUCCUACGGGAGGCAGCAGUGAGGAAUAUUGGUCAAUGGGCGAGAGCCUGAACCAGCCAAGUAGCGUGAAGGAUGAAGGUCCUACGGAUUGUAAACUUCUUUUAUACGGGAAUAAAGUAUCCUACGUGUAGGAUUUUGUAUGUACCGUAUGAAUAAGCAUCGGCUAACUCCGUG
rnacentral:rRNA from 1 species